AGCGAACGCUGGCGGCAGGCCUAACACAUGCAAGUCGAACGAACCUUUCGGGGUUAGUGGCGGACGGGUGAGUAACACGUGGGAACGUGCCUUUAGGUUCGGAAUAACUCAGGGAAACUUGUGCUAAUACCGAAUGUGCCCUUCGGGGGAAAGAUUAAUCGCCUUUAGAGCGGCCCGCGUCUGAUUAGCUAGUUGGUUGAGGUAAUGGCUCACCUAGGCGACGAUCAGUAGCUGGUCUGAGAGGAUGAUCAGCCACAUUGGGACUGAGACACGGCCCAAACUCCUACGGGAGGCAGCAGUGGGGAAUCUUGCGCAAUGGGCGAAAGCCUGACGCAGCCAUGCCGCGUGAAUGAUGAAGGUCUUAGGAUUGUAAAAUUCUUUCACCGGGGACGAUAAUGACGGUACCCGGAGAAGAAGCCCCGGCUAACUUCGUG
rnacentral:rRNA from 1 species